AUUGAACGCUGGCGGCAGGCCUAACACAUGCAAGUCGAACGAGUGGCGGACGGGUGAGUAAUGUCUGUGAAACUGCCUGAUGGAGGGGGAUAACUACUGGAAACGGUAGCUAAUACCGCAUACCAUCGGAUGUACCCAGAUGGGAUUAGCUAGUAGGUGGGGUAAGGGCUCACCUAGGCGACGAUCCCUAGCUGGUCUGAGAGGAUGGCCAGCCACACUGGAAGUGGGACACGGGCCAGACUCCUACGGGAGGCCGCAGUGGGGAAUAUUGCACAAUGGGCGACAGCCUGAUGCAGCCAUGCCGAGUGUAUGAAGAAGGCCUUCGGGUUGUAAAGUACUUUCAGUGGGGAGGCGUUACCCGCAGAAGAAGCACCGGCUAACUCCGUGCCAGCCGCCGCGGUAAUUC
rnacentral:rRNA from 1 species